CCUACGGGUGGCAGCAGUAGGGAAUAUUGCUCAAUGGGGGAAACCCUGAAGCAGCAACGCCGCGUGGGGGAUGAAGGUUUUCGGAUCGUAAACCCCUGUUGUUAGAGAAGAUAAUGACGGUAUGUAACUGAUCAUCCCCGGCUAACUCCGGGCCAGCAGGCGCGGUCAUACGGAGGGUGCAAGCGUUACUCGGAAGCACUGGGCGUAAAGAGCGCGUAGGCGGGUUAGCAAGUCAGAUGUGAAAUCCUAUGGCUUAACCAUAGAACUGCAUUUGAAACUGUGAGUCUAGAGUAUGGGAGAGGUAGGUGGAAUUCUUGGUGUAGGGGUAAAAUCCGUAGAGAUCAAGAGGAAUACUCAUUGCGAAGGCGACCUGCUAGAACGUAACUGACGCUGAUGCGCGAAAGCGUGGGGAGCAAACAGGAUUAGAUACCCUAGUAGUC
rnacentral:rRNA from 1 species